AUUGAACGCUGGCGGCAGGCCUAACACAUGCAAGUCGAGCGGUAGAGAGAAGCUUGCUUCUCUUGAGAGCGGCGGACGGGUGAGUAAUGCCUAGGAAUCUGCCUGAUAGUGGGGGAUAACGUCCGGAAACGGACGCUAAUACCGCAUACGUCCUACGGGAGAAAGUGGGGGCUCUUCGGACCUCACGCCAUCAGAUGAGCCUAGGUCGGAUUAGCUAGUUGGUGGGGUAAAGGCUCACCAAGGCGACGAUCCGUAACUGGUCUGAGAGGAUGAUCAGUCACACUGGAACUGAGACACGGUCCAGACUCCUACGGGAGGCAGCAGUGGGGAAUAUUGGACAAUGGGCGAAAGCCUGAUCCAGCCAUGCCGCGUGUGUGAAGAAGGUCUUCGGAUUGUAAAGCACUUUAAGUUGGGAGGAAGGGUCGUUACCUAAUACGUGGCGAUUUUGACGUUACCGACAGAAUAAGCACCGGCUAACUCUGUGCCAGCCGCCGCGGUAAGAC
rnacentral:rRNA from 1 species